rnacentral:lncRNA from 1 species
UCACUGAAGAUUUUCGGAAAAGAAAUGCAAUUUAUUAGGAAUCUCAUCUUUUUUUCCAAAGAAAGAAACUGGGAAACAAACAUCAACCAAAUAUGAACGCUUUCAAUAGGACCGACCAGUGUCAUAUAUGCCUUUACCUCAAAACGUGGGUCACGCCAAAAUGCACCAUAUCCAUUUGGUGGAUAAUUCUGUUGCAUAAAACCAUAAAGCAUAGUGCCAUCACAAAAUUGACCAACAAAAAAAGAAAAUUAAAUAACUAAAAAAGAAAAAGCAAAGAAAAUGACAAAAAUAAGGACAAAGGUGGAUAAAUACAAGGAACAUCUAAUCAGUUGCUGUCGCAACUUGCAAAAGACGCAGUCGUUUUUAACGUCCAGCUUAUUAAAACGAUGCCGUUUAUAUCUUCUCUUCCCAACUUAUCGUCUCUUCCUUCUUCCUCAAUCCAUUUCAACUGUUGCAGAGAGAGAAAGAUAAGAAAGAGACUUUUAAUAAAAAAAUAAAGAUAUUUUCAUUACCUUGCCGACCAUACAUAAAAAUAUCUACUCCAAUAAGUUCAUGACCGGAAAAAGGUCAAAAGUACGAAAAAGCCACCGCCUUUCUCCUCGAUUUUCUCUUUUUCUUCACAGACAGCUUCUUAUCUGAGGGUAAAAGCGACUUACCACUUCGAUCACCAGCUCCGGUAACUUGUGCCACUGGGAUGUAAAUCGGAGCUUCGGUUUUCUUUAAGAGUGCAGCUGAAUCUGAGUUAACAAACGAAAUGG